rnacentral:rRNA from 1 species
UACAGAGGGUGCAAGCGUUGUUCGGAAUUAUUGGGCGUAAAGCGCGUGUAGGCAGCUGAGCAAGUCGGAUGUGAAAGCCCUGGGCUCAACCUAGGAAGUGCAUUCGAAACUGCUGAGCUUGAGUUCUGGAGAGGAAGGCGGAAUUCUCGGUGUAGAGGUGAAAUUCGUAGAUAUCGGGAGGAACACCGGUGGCGAAGGCGGCCUUCUGGACAGCAACUGACGCUGAGACGCGAAAGCGUGGGGAGCAAACAGG